rnacentral:rRNA from 1 species
GGUCAAGUGACUAAGAGCAUGUGGUGGAUGCCUUGGCGAUGAUAGGCGACGAAAGACGUGAUAGCCUGCGAUAAGCUUCGGGGAGCUGGCAAAUAAGCUUUGAUCCGGAGAUUUCUGAAUGGGGAAACCCACCCGCAAGGGUAUCGCAUACUGAAUACAUAGGUAUGCGAAGCGAACCUGGAGAACUGAAACAUCUAAGUACCCAGAGGAAAAGACAUCAACCGAGAUUCCGAAAGUAGUGGCGAGCGAAAUCGGAACAGCCUUCUAGUGAUAGUCAGACGGUUAACAAAACGGAAUGGAAAGUCCGGCCAUAGUAGGUGAUAGCCCUGUAUGUGAAAACCGACUGGUGGUACUGAGCUAGAGAAAAGUAGGGCGGGGCACGAGAAACCCUGUCUGAAUAUGGGGGGACCAUCCUCCAAGGCUAAAUACUCAUCAUCGACCGAUAGUGAACCAGUACCGUGAGGGAAAGGCGAAAAGAACCCCGGGAGGGGAGUGAAAUAGAUCCUGAAACCGCAUGCUUACAAAAAGUAGGAGCCCGCAAGGGUGACUGCGUACCUUUUGUAUAAUGGGUCAGCGACUUACAUUCAGUGGCAAGGUUAACCGAAUAGGGGAGCCGUAGAGAAAUCGAGUCCGAAUAGGGCGUCCAGUCGCUGGGUGUAGACCCGAAACCAAGUGAUCUAUCCAUGGCCAGGAUGAAGGUGCCGUAACAGGUACUGGAGGUCCGAACCGACUAGUGUUGCAAAACUAGCGGAUGAGCUGUGGAUAGGGGUGAAAGGCUAAACAAACUUGGAAAUAGCUGGUUCUCUCCGAAAACUAUUU